rnacentral:lncRNA from 1 species
AAGAAAGAAAGGAAGGAAAAAGAAGAGAAAGAGGGGAAGGGAAAGAGAGAUUCUGGUGAGUGCAAGAAAGAGAGAGUGAGACUGGAGAGGAAGAAAACGAGGAGAGAAACUGGGAAAGAAAGAUAGAAGCAAAGGGAAAAGGGAGUUGCGGGGAAGAAAAUGAAAGGGAGCAAGAAGAAACCAGAAAAGGAAGAACCUGGGGAGAAUCUGGAGAGGAUUAGAAGGGAAACAGCAAAAAAAAAAACGAAAGGAAAAGAAAGACAAGACAGAGAACAAAGGAAAGAAAGAUUUUUUUUGCAGAAUUGUUUUUAGGGUUCAGGCUGAUUUUCCGUCAUUUUGGGAGGCAAACUUCUCCACUGAAUCGGCUUCUUCUUGGAUGUUUUAAGAGAUCUGGGACAUCUACUUAAGCAAAGGUUCAACUUUCGUUCAGAGAUAUUUUUGAAAUAACAUCAGGAAGGCAUGCAAAUCGGGGGCUCAAAAACAGCAUCUUGUCAUUCCUUACAAUUUUCUGGGUUGCAGGUCAGAGGAGUUCCUCACCAUUUUUCACGUUCUCUGGGGAUUAUUUCAUGUUCAAAAACACUUUUUGGGAUAGAGGUAAUCCAACUGUGUCCUUUAUUCAUGGUAAACUUCCAUUAAUCUUCAUUUGUGCUUUAAGAUUUGGUGGGUUUGCUUGUGGUUUCUUGCUUUAUAGUUCGGGUACCCAUUGUUGUGACUGAUGUUGAUGAUUUUUUUUGUUUUUGUGAAUGUGAUGUCCUGCUCUUGCUCUUAGAUCCCUUAUGAUAGUCGAGUCCAUCAAGGUUCUUAAAAUGAAAAUUGAGCUUGAAACUUUGCUGCAACAAAGCUUGAACUUCUUGGCUUUGUUGCAGCAAUAUUGACAGAUGCGUUGUUUGGUCGCAUGAAGUGUUGGUUUGCUUGAACUUUUGGAUUGCUUGCUGUUUGAAUGCGAUAUUAUGUACAACUUGCAGCGAUGUUGAUGUAACAUCAGGCCGCAAUAUGGCAAUUGUCUGUUGCAGCAAUAGACAUUGUUUUGCAAUUUCGAAACCACAGUUGCUCUAACUGAAGUCUAGGCUCCCGUUCAUUUGUUCUAGUUAUAGCAUUUGUUCAGUAUUUGUCUAGUCUCUUCUUUUUUCUCUUACUUGGAGUUCAGCGGCGUUUGGUGAUGGGGUGAGUUUGUGAUUUUGAAAUAACUGUCCCUUGCUAAAAGUUUUAAAUCAGAAAUUUGGAAGGCACCUGAGAUUUUGAAGUUUCCUUGUUCUUUCUCUUGCGGAUUCUAUCAAUUCAAGUUGUUGGGAUUUGAUUCGAUUCAAGUUGGAAUUGUGUUGAGGGAAAAUGACUCCAUGAAGUUUUGUGUCUUUGGUUUAUGAGUUUAGAUUCUUUAACUAAUUUCACUAAAAUAAUUUGAUUAUGUUCAGGAACCAUUUUGCUCAUUAAGAAAAUGGUCAAAAUAAUAGCAGUGAUUUUCUUUAACAUGUUUGCAAAUCUUCAUGAGUUAAUUCAAGUUUUAUCAAUAAAAUUUCAAAUGAACUCGUUAAAUGUAGAUUUUGGAUGCUUCAUGAGUAGUGAAUUAAGGUGAUGGCUUUUGAAUCAUUAGUUUGCAUUUUGUUUGAUAAAGUUGAAUUGUUUAAGUACUUGCUUAGUUUAAAUGGCGUUUAAUUUGUAAAUUUUAGGAACCUUGAGUUGAUUUCAAGUAAUUGGUUGUGUGUUUAUUAAAUAAAUUGGUGCUUUGACCAUUUUCUCUGUUUUAGAGGGUAAAUAAGAGAAAUUUCGUAUCAUUAGGCCACCAAUUCAAGGGAGGUACAUUCUACUCCUUUAUUUUAAUUUUACUAUUACUUGAUCUUAUGUGAUUUAUGUGUGUAAUAGCAUGUUUUUGAAUUUUUUUUAUUUUAUUUUGUUUUAUUUAUUUAUUCACUUUAUUUUUUUUUAAUUUUGUAUAUUUACUUUGAUUUAAUUUUUGAUUGUUUGAGAGGCAUUUAAAUGCCAAAUUAUAAUAGUUAAGGGGUUCAAAACAUGUAUUUAGAUAGAAUAUGUAAUAGUUAGGUAGUUAUUUUAUUAUUUUAUUCUUUCCCCCUCCUUAAAUUGUAGUUAGGGCCCCUAAAUGUAAUGGUUAGGUCUUUAUUUGCUGUUAUUUACUUUGUGUGCUUGCAUGCUCGUAUGUUUAUGUGUUUACUCGCUUUCUUACGAUCUUUGCAUUUAGAUAUUAUGCUUAUGUGCUAUGUGCUCGAUGUGAUUUAUGUGUUUACUUGUUUUUAUUAUGUUUUAUAUGAUUUAUUUGAUUAUAAUAAAUGCAUGACAUCAUCACACUAAUCCAAUGCUAGUUGUGGCCACUCUCCCCAAUUUCUCACUAGUCCAACGCUUUUGAAGAGCUUAUAGACAUGGGUUAGUCCAACGCUAGACUCUUAGGCCGUCCACAAGCUAGAAUCACAUGUUGGUGUGACAAUCGCAAUAUUUCAUGCAUAUUUUCUACUCUUUAGGAUCUUUACCAUUUUGCAUGAUAUUUUCUUUAUAUGUAUAUCCCCUUACCCCUAUGUGUGAAAGAUGACAUUUAGAUUUGCAUUUCAUUUAAGAAAAAUUAGAAAAUAUGUUAGUACAUUUGCCUGAUUAGGUUGGGGAGUACCCUUUAAAUAUGGGAUAUGGACGAGUAUGACUCUUUAGUUUUGGCACGCUCGUAUCUCCUCUAUAAAAUGGAAAAAUUGAAUCACGAAUCUUCGUACCCCCGUACCCGUUAUGUUACAUUUCUCUUUUUAGGUCACGUAUAUUUGUAUAUUUUAAUUUUUCUAAGUCUCAUUGUUGCAUAUUCGUGACCUUUUCAAAGAAUCACUUUUGGGCAUCGCAAUUAAUGCGAUUUGCACCAACUAAAAUCCGAAGAGACAUAUUGACCUUUCCAAUAUUCAUUAGGUCUAAGUUUGCAUUCAUAUAGUAACAUCCAAAUAUGAUAAGUCUUAUAGAUUAAACUAAGAAAAUUUUCCGACUAAAUCACGCAACUAGCUCUGGUUAGGUUGAAAGGGUGCAUUGAAUUUUAUCCUUGUCUUCCCUUUCUUCAAGCGUGAUUCCCGAACCCUUUUCUCUUGAUUUUUAAAGAUUUGGAGUCGUUUAAAAAAGGUUUUUCCUAUUUUUUAUUAAAAAUAUAUUUUUAGGUGAUUUGGUACACUUUAACUCAAUAUCAAGUGGCGACUCCUAUUUUUUAUUAAAAACCCUUUUUAAACUAUUAUUUUGGGCCCAAAUCGUCGCACUUCUUAAAGUCCCAUUUUAGGCCCUUUUGCUUUAUUUAUUCUCUAAAAAUCAAAAACUCAUUUUCAUUCAAAAUUAAUAAAAAAUCCAUUUUUAUAAACUCGUAUUUUAUUUUUAAAAAAUGGGGCACGACACACACUAAUGGUUUACUUGAGUGCUUCUCAUAGAACUUCAACUAAUCACAAUAAUGAUAGAAGAGGUUUGCAAUUGAAAAUGUUCCAAAUGUAAAAAAGUUGAAGAUUGUAAGAAAUUGCAAGUUAUUAAGAGAAGUGGAUGACCAUGUGGAUGCACAGCCAAAAAUGUGCGGAUGUCCACAUGGCUGGAAAGUUGAAAAACAAAAGAUUGAUGGAAGGCAUGCGAAUGCAGUGUGGACAACCAUACAGACAUCAAUCGGAUGCCAUACAGACGUCUGGUUGACAGUUUUUGUAUCUAGCAACUAGUUUUUCCUGCAUUAAUUAUUUGACCAUUGGAGGGCAUUUUAGACCCGAUUUUCACUAUUUAUAUAUAUCUUAAAGUUGAAAUAAUUAGAGACUUUGGCCAAAAUUGUAUACAAACUUCCUACAGUGAUUUUGUGUAAAAAUACUCCUCCCAUUGUAUACUUGUAGUUCUUUAUGACGUUGAAAAGCAAAGUAUACUCUUCAGUUGUAAGUCAGCAUUCAAUCGUGGAUUUGAGAGGGUUAACUUGAGUGAGUUGUAAAACUCUUUGAUUCAACUAGAGUUAGCUUAGUGAGCAAAGAGUGAUCCUUCUUUCGUACAAGUUAGUUUGCUUCACCACCAUUUAAAGAAACUACAAGUGGAUUGGACUCCAAACUUGAAGAAGAUUAGGAGUGGAUACAGGUGUUAAAGAGGGUAUGAGACCACUAUAAAUCGGUUUGUCUUUCUUUUACAUUAUUGUUUUGGCAGUGAAAAAUGGAAAAGCUCGUGGUCAUGGUGGUUUGCAUAGUAGUGGUUGGUUAUGAAAAUGGAGAAACUCGUGGUAGUUUUUUGUGGAGAAAAACUAAUAGCGGAGAAAGGUGAAGAGCUGGCUGGUGAAGACUGAAGAGAUAGCUGGAGGUGACUGGUGAACAGAUGGUUGGUAGUUGAGUGGUUGACUGGUGGUGCAAACAACAGGCUACGAUAGAGAGAUUGGAAUUUGGGACGGAAAUCAGAAAUGAUUUUGGAGGAAGGUCGAAGAAUGAAACCUAACCUUUAGUUCUACUUCAUGUAUAGUGUGAAAUGACAUAUAUGCUUGACUAACGAGUCCAAUCGAGCUGCUCGAAUAGGAGACGAGUGGAGUUGGCUCGGCUAGUUAUUUGGGUAUUUUUCUAGCUUGAACUCAACUCAUUUACUGAAAUUAACGAGUCGAGUUCGAGGUUGAUCGAGCUUUUCAAACUACUUGAGUCGAUUAACAGCAUUAGUUGGUAUCCUCAAUUUAAUCUAUAAGGUUGUGAACCCUUCGAAAAAUUGUCAAGGUUAUUUAUAUAAAAUUCUCCUAAAAGAAUAAAAAAAGAAAUACAACAAUUUUAGGCUUCACAUUAGGAAUCAAAUUUAAUUGGAAAUAAAUAUCCUCGAAUGUAAGAUUCUGCAAAAGAAUAAAUAAGAAAAUACAAUCAACUUUAAAUCUUCACACAUAUUAGGACCAAAUUUGAUUGCAAGUAGAUUUCUUUUCAUGAUAAAAUUACUUUGUUCAUUUGCCGAACAAAGGAUUGUUCUUUCUUUUUAAGGAUUACUCUUAGUUAAUGGAGUGAUACAAUAGCAAUUAGGAAAGAAAAUUUGUUAGCAUGGAUUUAUAAAUUAAUCAAAGAAUUAUUCUCAUCAUAUGAAUCUAAUAUUAUAAGAAUAAGUAUUGAAUUUCAUUACGCUACUCUUUAGUGCUUGACUUUUGAAAUUCUCUCUCUUUUCCUAAAUAAUAUGUUAAUACUCCAUGCUGUAGUGAAUCAGUUGGUUCAAAAUUCUUCAAUACUCUAAAGAAUGAAUACAUUCUUUGCAAAUUUGAUAUAGACAAGAAAUUUAUUGAGGCAUUCUAUUCAAACAAUGUUUUUUAUCCAAAAUUGCAAACAAAUGUGACCCAUAUAAAAUUUUCACUUUUCAAGUUUUUUUUGAAUCAUAUACUCGUUAUUAUUGUUCUAUUCUUGUUUUCUUUGCAUUGAUAAACUCCUUAAUUUGAUGUAGUUUAUGUUUUGGACUUUUCAUUUCUUUUCCUACCACGUCCAGUUAUGGAGAAAAGUUUGCAUUUAUGGCUAUGGAUCGAUAGGAAUCAAGUUUAGACUACAAAAAGAAUAUAAUUGAGAUUUAGACAAACAAUUUUGCACCAUAUAAAAGUCAAAUGUACAAGUCAAAUGUGCUAGUAAGGAUAAAUUAGAUGCAAUUAACAUAAAAGCCAACUUCGAUUUUUUUUUUUGGUUUUUCAUUUUUCCUUUUAUUCCUUUUCUUUGGCAAAUUGAGCCUUAGAUUUAAAAUUUUGCAAGAUGUUCUUCAAUAUGAUGAGAAUCUCAUUAUUUUAUAAGAGAAGAAACUCAUAUGAGUUAGUCUUGAACUAUAAAUACACAAUACAAGUUUAAAUCCUAUAAUGUAUAGAGCUAAGGUUUUGUAAAGGAGUCUAAACAACCCGAACAACUUCAAUCUUGUUUGAUUAUUUUGACGAAGUUAAAAUUUUGUUCAAGAUUGGCUUGUUCAUUGAGUUGAAUGUUGUUGAGCUCGAGUAGCUUCAACUUUCUACAUGUAAAUUUCACUUAUAUGCUAAUCGAGUUGAACUUGAGCCAAGCUUGAACGUUUAUCAAACAUAAAUUGCUGCUCAAACUUAUAUUUGAUUAGCUGGUGAACAAACUCAAAUGAGCUCUUACCGAGUCGAACUCGAUUCGAGUAUCCAGUAGUUUGACUCAUCUUUUAACCCUAAACAUAGCUUCAUUAAAGGUAGCAACUCAGCUAAACUAUAUUAAUAGUUGAUGUCUCACAAGAAUUAGCCAGUCUCUUGACUUGAUAGAGUUUAAUUCUAUUGAUAUAUUCCCUUUGCUUCUAUUGAAUUUAAUUGGUGGAUCACAUGCCAAAAAAAAUGAGAAUCUCGUGACUAUUUAAAAUAAAAGGGUCAUAUAAGUAUAUAGUAAAUCAUGAUUAUGGAAUAAAGAUUUGCAUAAAUGUACAUAGUAUACAUUGCAUCAUUUUAAGGUAGCUUCUUUACUAAACUAUGUAUGAAUUGCUCAUAUUUUACUACAAUGAACUAAGCUUGGAAUAAAUUUAAUUCUAUAUUGCUUCUAUUCAUAAGUACUAUUUUUUUUUUUUGGGCUUUUAGUGUCUAACUUUGCUUGAAUGGUAGAGAUUUAAGUAAGAUUAUAGUGUUUAUGUAUAAUUGUAUACAUAUAUGUAUCCAUGUAUGCCUAUGGAACUUUGUUAUUCGUAUUUCUAUAUGUAAGUAAGAUUAUAGUGUUUAUGUAUAAUUGUAUACAUAUAUGUAUCCAUGUAUGCCUAUGGAACUUUGUUAUUCGUAUUUCUAUAUGAAUUUGCAUGAAUAAUUAAUCAAAGAUUGAGUAGUUGAAAUCAUACAAGUUGAUAAUGGUAGAGACUUAAGUAAGAUUAUAGUGUUUAUGUAUAAUUGCAUACAUAUAUGUAUCAAUGUAUACCUAUGGAACUUAGAUAUUUGUAUAUCUCUAUGGAUUUGCAUGAAAAAUUAACCGGAGAUUGAGUAGUUGAAAUCAUACAAGUUGAUAAUGUUGGAAAUGUUCCUUCUUAAGAAGAAAGUUUUCUAUUCUCUUAAUUUGAUAGGUUAUAUACUGCCUGAUUUCUUUUUCUUUUCUUUUUUCUAAUUGUGCUUCUAAAGCUAGUAGCAAAAUUAGAUAAGUUGUGUUGCAAAAUUUGGUCACCAGGAAGAAUCUACAGGAUUAUAAACUAUAAUUGUUUAAUCAAAAGUCCAAAUAAAUGUUUAAGAAUUUCAAAACAAAUUGAUAGGGAAGAAAAUUUUAGGGUUAAUACCACUUUGUCCCCCCAAACUUUGGACGAUUACCCACUUCAGUCCCUAAACUUAAAAAUGGGACACUUAAGUCCCUAAACUUAUAAAUAGCUCCCACUUAAGGAAAAUUGUUAACAAAUCCUGAAUGCCGUUGGUGGUCGAAGUGUCUCAUUUUAUAAGGACUUAAGGAUUUAAGUGUCUCAUUUUAUAAAUUUAGGGACUUAAGUGGGAGGUAUUUAUAAGUUUAGGGGCUUAAGUGUCCUAUUUUGAAGUUUAGGGACUGAAAUAGGUAAUCGUCCAAAGUUUGGGGGGACAAAGUGAAAUUAACCCAAAAUUUUAGAUUUUAAUCUUGAGAGAUAUAUAGGACUGGGGGAACAAAGGGUUAAUUUCACUUUGUCCUCCCAAAUUUUGGAUGAUUAUCUACUUUAGUCCCUAAAUUUCAAAAUAGAACACUUAAGUCCCUAAAACUUAUAAAUUGGGACACUUAAGUCUCCAAACUUAUAAAAUGAGACACUUAAAUCCCUAAACUCUUAUAAAAUGGGACACUUCGACCGUCACGGCAUUUAGGAUUCUGUUAACAAUUUUCCUUAAUUGGGAGGUAUUUAUAAGUUUAGGGACUUAAGUGUUCCAUUUUGAAGUUUAGGGACUAAAGUGGGUAAUCGUCCAAAGUUUGGAGGGACAAAGUGGAAUUAACCGGGGGAACAAAUAUUGCAUAAGAUACAGUUACCCUCAAUAAAGCAUAACAUAUACACAUUUUUUAUUUGUAAGCACCAAGCUUUUUAGUUGAUCUUAAGCUAUUUUGCAAAAUACUAGAAUAUCAUAUAUAUUCAUUUAUCAAGAACUAUAAUAAUAUACAAUCAUAAGUGUGAUAUCCUCUUUCAAUGACCUAUUGGUUUUGUUGAGUUGAAGUAUUAAAUGCAAAUUACUUGUGAAUGUCCUAUUAUUUUUUACUAAAAUCCAUCAAUACUAAGACGAAGAGUGGGAGUUUGUCAAAACUAGGCCAUAAACUCUUAGCUUGUAAGAUAUUUGAUUGACAAAUUGUGUAAUACAAUCGCACUAAGUUGCAUAAUCUGUAAUCUAUCAGAUAAUUUUUCUUUGUAAUAGUUAUACUACCCUUAACAUAUAACAAUAGGUUGCAAAAUAAAUUCUCCUCAUAUGUAUAUGCUAAUGAAUGAAAGAUAAGAUUAUGAAUUUUAAGUUUUGUGCUUUGCAUAGACCCCAAAGUUAUAACAUUUAUUUGACUAAUUUUUUACCUAAGUGAAUAAUAGAAGAUCAGCAUAUAGUCACGAAAUUUGUAAAGCACAAGUGGUUUCAAGUUCAAAUAAAAUAUAUUCUGAGUAUGUAGCAAACUAAUUGUUUUAUUCUAUGCAGUCCACACGCAGACAAUCGCGAAAUUUGUAAAGUACAGGUGGC